GACACCCUCAGGGGGGCGGGGCCGGGGGUUCACAAAUGCAUUAAUUAGAAUAAUGGCUUUUUGGGUGGGCGCGGUGGCUCACGCCUGUAAUUCCAGCACUUUGAGAGACCGAGGCGGGCAGAUUGCUUGAGUAGAGACAGAGUUUCACCAUGUUGGCCAGGCUAGUUUUAAACUCCUGGCCUCAACUGAUCUGCUGCCUUGGCCUCCUAAAGUGGUGAGAUUACAGAUUAGAGAUGAGGUUUCUCCAUGGCCUAGCUGGUCUGGAACUCCUGGCCUCAAGUGAUCUGUCCUCCUCAGCCUUCCAAAGUGCUAGGAUUACAGCUCUCUGACACAGCUGGCUAUUCUAGUCCCAGAAGAAAGAGGAGAUACUUGCUGAAGAUCUGGAUGGGACAAUAGAAGUUUGGGGCACAUUAAAAAGAAGCAGCAAGAACAGCAACAAAAACCUCAGAUGAUUCAAACAGGCUUCUUCUUGGCUUUG
rnacentral:sRNA from 1 species